CCUCCUGGGUUAGGGCCCCUGAGCCAUCCUAUUGCGGGGCGGAGCUAUGAGGGUCCAGGAGACACCAGUCCAAGCUGUAAGCCCCAAGGCUUAAGCAGGUGCAGCGAGCAACGGGCCUUUCUGCUAGGGCCACCGCAGAUCCCAAGGGGUUUGUCUCGAGAUCGGAGCGAAGAAGAAACACACAGACCAUCAGCGGAACAAGGAAAGGAGGUUCCAGGCCUGGCUUCACUCCCUGACUCGCUGACAACAGCCCUCCCAGGAUCGCCAGAGGUCUAGAAUCAGUGGUGUGUUAUUAGAAUCCGAGUGUAUAAGAUCCGAGGUGCCUCGAUCCUUCUUCGACUCUCGCUGCAUGCUGAAAUCCUUGAGUUAUGACUUUCCCAGCAGCCUCUGUAGCCAGCCCUCUUCCACCAGGACUUCAGCUCUCUUCUGAAAUGGAGUCACCACGUAUCCACAGGGUGGAUUUCUGGGAGAGGCAAGCAGGUAUCUGGUGGGCAAAUGGUAACAUCCUUCCAGGUUCAACUUCUUCUGAAGGCGUCUCUGGUCACCUGGAUAUAUGCACCCAUCUACCCUUCCAGAUCGUGCAGCAGGGGUGGUAAUGCUUUAACCUCUGGCUGGUAUGCUUCAGGUCCCUCAAAACAUGGCCAUGCAUUCCUGGCAACACUGAAGGCUGUUUAUGUGCAGCAUGAAUAAAUGUUUUAGGGUU